AGAAUGAACGCUGGCGGCGUGCUUAACACAUGCAAGUCGAACGGAAUCCAAGGAGCUUGCUCCAGAAGAUUUAGUGGCGAACGGGUGAGUAACACGUGAGCAACCUACCCCAGAGACUGGGAUAACACCGGGAAACCGGUGCUAAUACCAGAUGUCUUCCCUUGACCGCAUGAUCGGGGGAAGAAAUGAAUUUCGCUCUGGGAGGGGCUCGCGGUCCAUCAGCUUGUUGGCGGGGUAACGGCCCACCAAGGCGACGAUCGGUAGCUGGUCUGAGAGGAUGAUCAGCCACACUGGGACUGAGACACGGCCCAGACUCCUACGGGAGGCAGC
rnacentral:rRNA from 1 species